rnacentral:rRNA from 1 species
GCCAGAGCCAUAUCUCACUGCAGUUCUCAUUCUGGUGUGCCACUGAAACUAAGCAGGGUUGAGCCUGGACAGUACUUGGAUGGGAGACCUCCUGGGGAAAACUAAGUUUGCUGCUGGAA